AUGGCACCGGGAUCACCUGCGGGAUCGGCUCCGGGAUCUCCCCGGCUGAACGGGCCGUCCUGGGUUGCCAGUCCCGCCGGGCACCGCCCGGGCAGCGCUGCCGGCCCGACGCGGCUGCCGCUGGACCGGGCCUUCCCCCGCUCGGCGUGGUGCGCGGUGAAGAUCGCCCGCACGCUGGUGGCGCUGGCCGCCUUCAUACGCUUCCUGACCGCGGGCGAGCACGAGUUCUACACGGGGUAUGCCGGCCUGGAGACGGUGACAACCGUCUUCUUCCUGCUGCUGUACCUGCUGAGGCUCGACGCGCGGAUGCGGUGCCUCUACUGGCCGCUAGCUGUGAGUACCCGUGGGCUCCGAGUACCGGGGUGCUCUGGAUGUGAGUACCGAUGUCCCCUGGCCGUGAGCAUUGAUGAACUCGGGCCGCAUUCAGGGCCUGACAGAUCCACUCCUCAGAUGACCUGUACAUUGGCCAGUACAAAUUAUCAGGUCGUGUCAUUUCUUUAGUCUAUUCUAUCAUACAGUAUUUUAUCAUUUUCUCUUUACUUUUUCCUUUCCUGGAUUUACAUUCAUCCUAAAAUUUUAACAUUAACCCCAGGGGACUGUCCUGUGGUAAAAAGCUCCCUCUUUUCCCAGUACCUUUAGUACUUCUAUUUGCCUGUUGGUUUAUACCAACCCCUGGGUCUUUGCCUUGGCAUUGACCCACCCUAAGAAACGGGUAUUCCCUCACUUGCCUCGACCGCACUCUUUCUGACUUCAGUAAAGAAAGGCCUUCCUAUUUUCUCACUUGUCUAGGAUUUCUUUAAUAAAAAGUCCCUUCAACCAAUACUGCUUCCCGCCUCCGAUUUACUGUAAAGAAAUCCCCCCCAGCUAUUGCCGCAUCCCGCCCCCGACCUUUUUAUAUGAAAGAAUUCCCUUUACCAACACUCGCUUUGUUCCUUCACCUGCCGCUCCCCUCGCGGAGACACGGAACCGAGGUUAGAAGAACUCCACAAUCACUUCGUGGUCAGACCACGUCUCACACACACACCACUCACACUCUCACACGUGUGUACCCGUUCUUAGCCCACCUAACCAAGCGAUACUUACAGCCUCCUUUUCUCGCCUGGGUCUCUGUGCACGAGUUAUUACAGGUGAAUUUCACUGCAGCUUUAUCCGGGAGCUCAAAAUCCUUUGCUCACAAUUUACCUUGAGGAUCUCCUUCUCCCUGAAAGAUUCCCCAGUCACUCAGGGCCACCUGAGGCAAAAGCCUGCAAGGUGGGGCGCCUCCCCGAGAUCAGGGGCCUCCUUCAAUGGAUUGGAGAUGCCCGCAUUCUCCACCAAAUUGUUAAAAAUAAGACGCUUGACACGGCCAAUAUAUCAAGCAGCAAUUUAAUAAUUAAUUAAUUAACAUGGUAAAGUGUGAGCAAAGAGGCAGCGCUGGGUACAGUGGUAGGGGUUUUCCCUUCCAACUGCACACCCAUUGCUGGUUUUGAUGGUAUUUUAUACAUAUUCAUAAGCUUUCUCAGCAGUUUCCAUUUCUAGUUUUAACGUCACAAUUCAAUACCUAACAGCUAUAAAUCUAUAGAUUGUCUUGUAUAAUUCUAUGGACCAUUGUGAUCUAUUCUGAUAUUUCAAUACUCUAGGAUGUACUUCCAGGAUAUGUUUUUCCAGGUGGUGGGAUCUGGCUUCUAGAUGUGGGGGUCCCAUCUCUAUUUUCAAGUCCAUCCAUCUCCAAGCUGAUGUCCAGUUUUCCUCUCCAGGAGCCAUAAAUCAGAUAUUUUGAACUCGGUGACUUCAGCGAUGUUACUCAUCCCUGUGGGCUUGACUGCAGUAAAAAUCAAGACCAACAAGGGGAUAAUGGCUGGAGGAGUGUUGAGUCUUAUAUUGCUUGCUCU